GGUCUUUUGUUGAUAUAAAAGAUUUGGCCUGCCCAAUGAUUUAUUUAAAUGGCUGCAGUAUUUUGACUGUACAAAGGUAGCAUAAUCAUUUGUCUUUUUAUUGAAGGCUGGUAUGAAUGGUUAGAUGAAAAAUAUCCUUUCUUUGUUUUAUAUAUUGAAUUUGAUUUUUUAGUCAAAAAGCUAGGAUGUAUUUGUAGGACGAGAAGACCCUAUAGAACUUUAUUUACAUGAAUUAUGGUUUUUUUAGUUUAUAAUAAUUUUAUAUUUUUUUUGUUAAAAUUUUGUUGGGGUGAUGGAAAAAAUAUUAUAACUUUUUCUUUUUGUUACAUUUAUGUAUGUUUUUUUGAUCCUUUAUUAUGGAAAAUAAGAUUAAGUUACCUUAGGGAUAACAGCGUUAUUUUUUUGGAGAGUUCAUAUCGAUGAAAAAGUUUGCGACCUCGAUGUUGGAUUAAAAUAAGUGCCAGGAGUAGAAUG
rnacentral:rRNA from 1 species